rnacentral:snRNA from 1 species
CAUCCAGAUGGAUCAUCUAGAUGC